AGGCUUAACACAUGCAAGUCGAACGGGCGCCUUCGGGUGUCAGUGGCAGACGGGUGAGUAACACGUGGGAACGUGCCCUUCGGUUCGGAAUAACUCAGGGAAACUUGAGCUAAUACCGGAUACGCCCUUACGGGGAAAGGUUUACUGCCGAAGGAUCGGCCCGCGUCUGAUUAGCUAGUUGGUGGGGUAAUGGCCUACCAAGGCGACGAUCAGUAGCUGGUCUGAGAGGAUGAUCAGCCACACUGGGACUGAGACACGGCCCAGACUCCUACGGGAGGCAGCAGUGGGGAAUAUUGGACAAUGGGCGAAAGCCUGAUCCAGCCAUGCCGCGUGAGUGAUGAAGGCCUUAGGGUUGUAAAGCUCUUUCGACGGGGACGAUAAUGACGGUACCCGUAGAAGAAGCCCCGGCUAACUUCGUGCCAGCAGCCGCGGUAAUACGAAGGGGGCUAGCGUUGCUCGGAAUCACUGGGCGUAAAGGGCGCGUAGGCGGCCGAUCAAGUCAGAGGUGAAAGCCCAAGGCUCAACCUUGGAAUUGCCUUUGAUACUGCUCGGCUAGAGACCGGAAGAGGUUAGUGGAACUGCGAGUGUAGAGGUGAAAUUCGUAGAUAUUCGCAAGAACACCAGUGGCGAAGGCGGCUAACUGGUCCGGUUCUGACGCUGAGG
rnacentral:rRNA from 1 species